rnacentral:rRNA from 1 species
UACGGAGGGUGCAAGCGUUAUCCGGAAUCAUUGGGUUUAAAGGGUCCGCAGGCGGUCUUAUAAGUCAGUGGUGAAAGCCUACAGCUCAACUGUAGAACUGCCAUUGAUACUGUAAGACUUGAAUUCGAUCGAGGUGGGCGGAAUAUGACAUGUAGCGGUGAAAUGCUUAGAUAUGUCAUAGAACACCGAUAGCGAAGGCAGCUCACUAGGUCUGGAUUGACGCUCAGGGACGAAAGCGUGGGGAGCAAACAGG